UAAGUGUUGGAGGGUUUCCGCCCUUCAGUGCUGCAGCUAACGCAUUAAGCACUCCGCCUGGGGAGUACGACCGCAAGGUUGAAACUCAAAGGAAUUGACGGGGGCCCGCACAAGCGGNGGAGCAUGUGGUUUAAUUCGAUGCUACGCGAAGAACCUUACCAGGUCUUGACAUCUUCUGCCAACCUAAGAGAUUAGGCGUUCCCUUCGGGGACAGAAUGACAGGUGGUGCAUGGUUGUCGUCAGCUCGUGUCGUGGGAUGUUGGGUUAAGUCCCGCAACGAGCGCANCCCUUAUUGUUAGUUGCCAGCAUUCAGUUGGGCACUCUAGCAAGACUGCCGGUGACAAACCGGAGGAAGGUGGGGAUGACGUCNNAUCAUCAUGCCCCUUAUGACCUGGGCUACACACGUGCUACAAUGGACGGUACAAC
rnacentral:rRNA from 1 species